GCCAGGAGACCCUCCCACAUUAUGACUACAGUACUGAUGAGACUCUCAGGGACAGGAAGCACUCACCACAUCUUAAAGUAGCGCACCCUAGCCAGAUCCAGCAGGGGCUGAGACUUGGCAGGACUAUAGGGUUAAAACCAGCCAGGGCAAUGAAGUGCAUAGGGAGACAUUGCCAAGGGGGGAAAAAAAGGCAAAAACCAACCCCAAAACCUGGGCAUUAAGGUGCAUGCUUGUAAUUCCUGCAGUUGGGAGACAGAGGCAGGAGAGUUGCCAUAAGUUUGAGGCUGGUAGGCCAGCCCAGUCUACAAAGGAAGUUCUAGCACAGUCGGGGCUACAUCGUAAGACUUGAAAAUAAAUUAAAAAACACUCUGGAAAAGGAACUAAUUAUAUCUCCAUUAUUUCUACGGCUGUACAUAGUUUGCAUCGAUGUCAAAUUACAAAUGUUUAUAGACAGAAAAAUUACUGUUCCAAGGCUCUGUGGUGGUAUACGCUUUUAAUCCCAGCACUUGGGAGUCAGAGACAAGCAGAUUUCUGUGAGUUUGAUGCCAACCUUGUCUUCAUAUCAAGCUCCAGGCCAGCCUGAAUUACAUAGUGAGAUGGUGUCUUCCCCAAAAGAUAAAUAAGUAAAUAAAUGAUUGGGGCAUGGAAUACAGACCUUCAAUUCCAGCAUUCAGGAAGCAGAGGCAGGUGGAUCUCUGUCAGUUCAAUUCCAGCCUGGUAUAGAGAGCCAGUUCCAAUAUAGUCAGGGCUACACAGGUAAAGCCUGUCUCCAAGAAAAAAAAAUAAAAA
rnacentral:lncRNA from 1 species